rnacentral:rRNA from 1 species
GGACGAACGCUGGCGGCGUGCCUAACACAUGCAAGUCGAGCGAGGAGAUCCUUCGGGAUGAUCCUAGCGGCGGACGGGUGAGUAACACGUGGGCAACCUGCCUCAUAGAGAGGAAUAGCCUUCCGAAAGGGAGAUUAAUACCUCAUAACAUUGCAGUUUCGCAUGGAACAGCAAUUAAAGGAGUAAUCCGCUAUGAGAUGGGCCCGCGGCGCAUUAGCUAGGUUGGUGAGGUAAUGGCUCACCAAGGCGACGAUGCGUAGCCGACCUGAGAGGGUGAUCGGCCACAUUGGGACUGAGACACGGCCCAGACUCCUACGGGAGGCAGCAGUGGGGAAUAUUGCACAAUGGGGGAAACCCUGAUGCAAGCAACGCCGCGUGAGUGAUGACGGCCUUCGGGUUGUAAAGCUCUGUCUUCAGGGACGAUAAUGACGGUACCUGAGGAGGAAGCCACGGCUAACUACGUGCCAGCCGCAGC